rnacentral:lncRNA from 1 species
CAUUAUUAAGGAGAGAAGAAAUGGAUUCUCAACGGAACCCAGAUCCACCUAACGGCUAGUUUUUUUUUUCUCUUGAUUACCGUUGGGCGCCUUUUAAAACCUGGCCCCUGUUUUCCCAGCCGUGAAAGACCUCUCUCCCCUGCAUCUCUCUCUCUAGACCUCUCUCCCCUGCAUCUCUCUCUCUCUCUCUCUAGACCUCUCUCCCCUGCAUCUCUCUCUCUAGACCUCUCUCCCUGCAUCUCUCGCUCGCUCUCUCUAGACCUCUCUCUCUCUCUAGACCUCUCUACCCUGCAUCUCUCUCUCGAGACCUCUCUCCCCUGCAUCUCUCUCUCUCUCUUUCUCAGCCAUGGUCUACACGUACACCCCCACCUAUUACUCCUCUGUACAGGGCACCAUUACUUCCUUAU